CCGUAUUAUUAUACCAAAGUGAAAAGACAGCCGUUUUUGUGAAUUUUACAGAGUAGCUCCUAUUCAAAUUGGGAAAUUUUAGAAAUUAGAUUGGCAAGUGGUAAAAGUGGGUAGAGUUUGAAUAACAAAAGGGCUCUAAGUUGUUCCAGAUAUUGGAGCAAUGUCGGUGGCCAUUAUUUGGAAAUAGAACAGUCAUUGCUUGCUUGUUUUAAAAUUACUUGACAUUCCUUAUUAAAUAUUCAAACUAUUUAGUAGUUGUCAAGGUUUGUUGGUUGAUUUUGUGUUUCAGCAGAAUUAAGGAAGUUUCUCUUGGUGUUGGCAGUAAGAAUUCAAUUCUUUACAAUGUUAUUUAUCCUCGUAAAGUGGCAUUUGAUGGUAUCUUCUGUUGUAUAGUUAUAGGAUCUCCUGAACUUUGAAAUACUGGUACCAGUAUUGUACUAAACCGUAUUAUUAUACCAAAGUGAAAAGACAGCCGUUUUUGUGAAUUUUACAGAGUAGCUCCUAUUCAAAUUGGGAAAUUUUAGAAAUUAGAUUGGCAAGUGGUAAAAGUGGGUAGAGUUUGAAUAACAAAAGGGCUCUAAGUUGUUCCAGAUAUUGGAGCAAUGUCGGUGGCCAUUAUUUGGAAAUAGAACAGUCAUUGCUUGCUUGUUUUAAAAUUACUUGACAUUCCUUAUUAAAUAUUCAAACUAUUUAGUAGUUGUCAAGGUUUGUUGGUUGAUUUUGUGUUUCAGCAGAAUUAAGGAAGUUUCUCUUGGUGUUGGCAGUAAGAAUUCAAUUCUUUACAAUGUUAUUUAUCCUCGUAAAGUGGCAUUUGAUGGUAUCUUCUGUUGUAUAGUUAUAGGAUCUCCUGAACUUUGAAACAAGGUGUGAAUCAGGUAACUGAUAUCUGUCUUUUAAAUUACUUAUUGCAGCAGGAACAAUGAUUAGACUAUUCAAGAUAAAGGAGAAGCAAAAUGAAAUAGCUGAGAAUGCGAAUGGGAAGCCUCUAGGCAAAAAGCAAAGUGCUGGGGAGUUA
rnacentral:lncRNA from 1 species